AACGAACGCUGGCGGCAUGCCUAACACAUGCAAGUCGAACGAGAUCUUCGGGUCUAGUGGCGCACGGGUGCGUAACGCGUGGGAAUCUGCCCUCAGGUUCGGAAUAACCAUUGGAAACGAUGGCUAAUACCGGAUGAUGACGUUAAGUCCAAAGAUUUAUCGCCUGAGGAUGAGCCCGCGUAGGAUUAGCUAGUUGGUGUGGUAAAGGCGCACCAAGGCGACGAUCCUUAGCUGGUCUGGGAGGAUGAUCAGCCACACUGGGACUGAGACACGGCCCAGACUCCUACGGGAGGCAGCAGUGGGGAAUAUUGGACAAUGGGCGAAAGCCUGAUCCAGCAAUGCCGCGUGAGUGAUGAAGGCCUUAGGGUUGUAAAGCUCUUUUACCCGGGAUGAUAAUGACAGUACCGGGAGAAUAAGCUCCGGCUAACUCCGU
rnacentral:rRNA from 1 species